CGUCCCUGGGCUUAACUGGGGUGGGGGUGGGAGGCCUCAGGCCCCAGAGGGGUCCCACGAAUCAGCAGGGAGGGUGUGCAAUGCUCUGCAUAGCAAAGCUGGGCCACACCAGGGGCUCCAGCUAAGGGGCUUUUUGGGGACCCCCCUGGGGACUCCCUCGCCCAAGGGCAGAGACCCCAGAACCUGCAGGGUCUCCUGAGUUCAGCACAAUGCAGGGCACCAAGUACCAGGUCCCCCUCUCCCCUGAUAUGUUGUAGUGACGAUGUCCCUGUCCCCUGGGGUUGUGGGAACCUCAGCUCAGAGCCCCUUUGAGCAGCCUUGAGCCUUGAGUUCCCACAUUCCUGAGAACUGCCCCUCUGGGCAGCUGUGGAGGUGGGGGCCCCGUGUGCGUGGGGUGACUCUGCAGGGUGCCCCUCCUCUUGCCUCUGUGUCAGCCCUUCCCCCUCCACGGGGCUGGGUGGAGGGUGGAGGGGAUGCCCUCUGUAGCUGGGGCAACCCCCUAGGCUGCACUGCCUUCCUGCCCUUCUGGAAUCAUGACAGUCUCCCCCAUCACGUUAGUGCGAAUGGGGCUCUGAGGCCUGAGAGGGGAAGGGCCUCCCGGACCCCCAUGUCUUGCCUCAAGUCGCAUCCCAGCAGUGAAAACGCAUCCCAGCAGUGAAAACAGGGGCCGGGCUGGAUCAGUGGGUUCCAGGGGGUGGAUGAUAGGCCUGUCAGUGGUGGAAACUUCUGUUCAGGUGAAAGCUCAUGCAGAUGCAAACCCCUGGGAGCUGAGCUUUCGGCUGCCCUCCCUGGCCCACCUCCCUGGAGCGGACUUGUGGCGGGGUCCCCUCUGUUCCUUGGUGUAUCCAUCUCUCUGGGCUUUGGGCUCCUAUUGUAAAAUAGGACUGGAGGGGCAGAGGGUGUGCAAGGUGACCCUGUGCCAUGCCUGACACAUGUCAGAACCAGCAGGCAGCUGCCAGACGUCAGGGGAUGGCGCCCCUGCGGGCCGUGGCGAUGCGCCAGGGCUGGGCCCAGUCCUGGCGAGGGCAGCGUGGGGUCUUCCUUGCAGGGACCGGGAAGCAUUCAGGAGCCUUUGGCUCUGAGGAUCCGAAACCCCAUCUGGUGGAGGCAAGGAGAGAAAGAGGAAUUGAAUGGCUGAGGUCACCAGGAGGCGGCCAGCGUCAGGACAGCCCCUUCAGGUCUCCUGUCGCAGCUCUGCGCAGUCAGCGUGUCUUCCCCAAGGCUGGCGCCAUGUCUACCCACAGCUGCCGCUCCCUGCUCCUGGCCUGGGGGCCCUCAGAGGAGGGGCGAUGGUGAUGAUAAGACGCCCCACCUGGGAAGGAUCCUGGGGACCGACUCUCGCGGACAGUCUGGGCCCCACACCCCAGCUUGGCCAGUGUCUGUGGUGGGAGGGCUAGGAGAGAGGUGCUGUGAACAGAAGACCUUCUCCACAAUGCCUCGGUUCAACAAACGGGGCGGUUCCCCGAAAGGGGCCAGGCGGGAGCGGGUUAGCAGGACGUCCACAGGUGCUGUUGGCCUUCCCUGCAGGUAGAGCUGGGCCUCCCUGGGACGUGGCCCUUCCCUGCAGGUAGAGCUGGGCCUCCCUGGGACGUGGCCCUUCCCUGCAGGUAGAGGUGGGCCUCGCUGGGACGUGGCCCUUCCCUGCAGGUAGAGGUGGGCCUCCCUGGGACGUGGCCCUUCCCUGCAGGUAGAGGUGGGCCUCCCUGGGACGUGGCCCUUCCCUGCAGGUAGAGCUGGGCCUCCCUGGGACGUGGCCCUUCCCUGCAGGUAGAGCUGGGCCUCCCUGGGACGAGGCCCUUCCCUGCAGGUAGAGGUGGGCCUCGCUGGAAAGGCGCGGUUCCCGUGGCUCCCAGCCCCCAGGUGGGAGAGGUAUAUCCAACUGGACACUAGGACUGAGGAGGCCUCUGAAGGGCUGCUGAGGGCGUGCUGGCCAGCUUGGCCUUGGCCAUGGGGGUGGUCAGCUGUCUGGGAACGGCUCCUUGGGGCUGGGAAUGGAGAGGUCACCUUUUGUAUGAAGUUGGGUGGGGGCCGGGAAGUUGGACCCCAGCAGGGCUUUGAAGCCUGCAGGCAAGUCCCCCCUUCCCACGUCAGGGACGCAUAACCCAUGCCCCAGCACACUGGGCUUCCUUGUGUCCUGGGUACAACAGAGCAUUCCCUUUUACAGAUACAGAAUCUGAGCAGGAUAGUCUCAGAGAUGGUGAGAUGUGUUAGAGCUGGGGGCCUUCCCAUCAGCAGGCACUUCCUUUACUCCCAUCCUGGGUCUAUCAUGGGAUUCUUAAGGCUACUUAGUGUUAAAACCCUUACAGACUCCAACAUCUAGCCAUCCAUCCAUCCAUCCAUUUGGCUGUCUAUCCAUUCAUCCAUCCAUCCAUCCAUCCAACUGUCCAUCUUUCCGUUCCUCUAUCCAUCCAGCUGUCCAUCCAUCCAUCCAUCCAUCCAUCUAACUGUCCAUCCAUCCCUCCAUUCAACUGUCCAUCCAACAUUUAUUGAAAGCCUGUCAUGUGCUGGGCAUAGGGUUGGCACUGGUUAUACCCGGGAAGCAAAGGCCCAGCCUCACCUUUGAGUAGGGGUGCCGGCUUUAGUAAAUAAAAAUACAGGACACCCAGUUAAAUCUGAAUUUCAGGUAAAC
ensembl:lncRNA